rnacentral:rRNA from 1 species
AGAGUUUGAUCAUGGCUCAGGAUGAACGCUAGCUACAGGCUUAACACAUGCAAGUCGAGGGGCAGCAUGUUGGUUGCUUGCAACCAAUGAUGGCGACCGGCGCACGGGUGAGUAACGCGUAUCCAACCUACCCUUGUCCAUCGGAUAACCCGUCGAAAGGCGGCCUAACACGAUAUGCGGUUCACAGCAGGCAUCUAAGGUGAACGAAAUGUGAAGGAGAAGGAUGGGGAUGCGUCUGAUUAGGCUUGUUGGCGGGGUAACGGCCACCAAGGCUACGAUCAGUAGGGGUUCUGAGAGGAAGGUCCCCCACAUUGGAACUGAGACACGGUCAACUCUACGGGAGCA